CAGCCGCCGCGGUAAUACGGAGGGUGCAAGCGUUAAUCGGAAUUACUGGGCGUAAAGCGUGCGUAGGCGGCUUCUUAAGUCGGAUGUGAAAUCCCUGAGCUUAACUUAGGAAUUGCAUUCGAUACUGGGAAGCUAGAGUAUGGGAGAGGAUGGUAGAAUUCCAGGUGUAGCGGUGAAAUGCGUAGAGAUCUGGAGGAAUACCGAUGGCGAAGGCAGCCAUCUGGCCUAAUACUGACGCUGAGGUACGAAAGCAUGGGGAGCAAACAGGAUUAGAUACCCGGGUAGUCCCUGUCUCUUAUAA
rnacentral:rRNA from 1 species